CAGAGGGUUUGUUCUUAAUUGAUUGCUUAUUUCAGCCUUCUGAGAUGUGAGAAAUACUGUGAAAAGUUGUUUGGUAUAAGAAAAACUUCCUGUUUAACCUAAAAGGUAAGAUAUAUGAGGCUUUGUUACAGUCUCGUGGUAUCUAUGUGAAGAUGCUAAAUUACACCAAGUAUGUAAAAUGCUGGAAAAAUGAUCAGGCAGGUAUGCAGUCAUAAUUGUAUAAAGCUAAGAAAGGACAGCUGUCUAAGAAUAGAUUAAGAAAUAAGAAAAGAGUUUUAUGGGACAGACAUCCCAGGUCACACUGUGUUAUUCUAGGGAAUAUUUACCUACCAGGAGUUGUUGUAUGGCCUCUAUAAGGAUAUUUUUCUUGUUUCAGUGUCUAAACACCACUUCACUGGUGAUGUGUCUGGGUUUGGUUUUCAUUGACAGUAUAGCAGUGAGGCAGAGUGAUGAUGUUACUGAGGGUUUCUGUGGGGGAUAUCCAUACUGUGGGCAAGUGCUUUGCCCAAAGUCAUGUUGGUAGGUGAACUUGGGCCUUAAAAGUAAGAGUAAAUUCUGAUGCUGACUUGGUGGUUUUAGAUGGGUGGGCAAAAUUUCGAUUUGUUGUAGAAAACAGUGGCUUUCCUUUGGAAAGGAACAGUGGUUAUGUUAAUGCAUACUUUCUCUUCUUGUUUUUAAAGGUGUGGUACUGGACUUCCUGUUGAAGGGUGGAGAUGAAGGCAGGGUGACCAGCAAGAAGAAAACCAAGCUCUUGCAUAACAAUACUGGGGCAGUUUUGGUCCAUUUUGAUUUUGCUGUGAGGGUAUUGUGAACUGUAAAGGAUUACUGUAAGUUGUAGUAUGAAAUCCCGUGUUACUUGUUGAACAGCACAUUAAACUUAAUUACCUAAAGUUUUAUUGUGUUAUGCUAGCAUUAAUAAAGUGCGCGGAGUGGAUUAUUUCACUAGAGAGUCUGUAUGUAGAUCUCUGAAGGGCAGCAAGAAACAACAAGCCAAAAUGCUGGUAGGUAUUGCUCAAGCUUAUUCAGAAUUGAUUAACUUCCUGCAGGUUUUGUUAAUGAAAACAUUCCUUCCGUUUUAUUUAAAACUCAAAGGGUUAAAACAAAAGCAACACUCUGGUGGCAGUUGCAGCAUCAAGCAUGCUUCCAUCCCAAAUCUGUUCCUUGGAAUGCUUUUUUUAUGGGGCAGAUUUAACAUGUCCCACAUUCUGGAAGGUAUUCUUGCAGUUUAUUGGUGCACUUAAAAAUGAUGGGUAAAAAUACUGAACUACAUAGUGUGUUGUGUUAGUGCCUUCUAAAAAAUUAGUACUCAAUAUCAGCUACUGUGUCAUUUAUCUAAAUAUAUUUCAUUAUUAACUAAUUUGAUCUCUUGAUUUGGCUUUUGAUGCUACGAAAGCUGAUAUAUGAUGCUUCUUAAUUAUUUCCUUCUCUUAACGAAAUGAGUGUGGAGAACUUUCAGUAACUCAAGUUCAACAGAAUAUUGUUGGCAGUUCUGAAUUUGUUUUGUAGUUACCGAGUAUGGGUAAUCCUGGCAAGUUUUUAACUGAGAAAUUGUGAAAUGAGCAUGAUUGUAUUCAAUGUGUGUUCUUCAGAAAGUCAGAAACUCCCAGGCUUCUGAGUUUUGUUGUCUUUAACCACACACUUUCAUAAGCAUUUAGGUCUUGAUCUUACAGUAUUCAAGCCAGCUGGGUUUUCCCAUAAACUUACAUUAGAACAGCCUCUCUCUGUGGAGAAAUUCCCCUGAUUAGGUCAUUACACUCAACAUUCAGUUUCUUCAAUGAGCUGCUUCACCUGCUGUAAGAAACUGCUGCUUUGAACUAUUCUUGUGUUGCUUUUGAAGUAUCAAGAUUUACUGUGCUGCCAUACUAACAAUCUAUCUUUCGCCAAAUGUUGUACAGAUAGCUCUUUAAAAUAAAGCAGAGAAGAUGAUUUGAAGCUUUCUCAAUGAAAACACUACUUCCAAUGUCUUUCUGUGUUCUCUCUUUGCCAUGGACCUUUCAGACUUUUCUUUGACUACUAAGCAGUCAUUCAUGUCUGUGACUCACUUUGGCUCACAGAAAGACUGCAACUAGUGACACUAGUUGUCAGUGAAGUGUCUUUCAGUGCUCUCAGAUUUAUUGUCAGUGACCUCAAGGGAAGAGGACUCAGCCUUCAGGAAUGUCAGUUCAGUUUUCCUCCAAAGUCUCCAAGAUCAUAGAAGAAUCUGCAACCGCAGUAGCUUAUUUCAGUAAGGAGCUCUGCCCUUCUGUGGCGCUUAAGCACCAUCUCGUCAGCCUCUUUUAAUCUAGUUCUUGUGCCUGUAUAAAUGCCCACUAAAAAUAUUUAGAUUGAAUGACUUAUUUUUGUGAAAGUUAAACUAAUACUGCAAAUGAUGUGUUGAGGUGCACUCACUACAUAGAAUUACUAGUAGAACAAUUAUUUGGUGUGUAGUACUUGAGUGUAGUGUGAUUCUGCUCAUACUGAUGUUUCCCCCUAAAGCCCCCAUUAGACUAGCACUUCAUGCUGAAGAAAAGUCAAAAGUAGAGACUGAAAAAAUUCCUUUUGUAAUGAUAUAAUAUGCAUGAAUUAUAUAUUUUGAGUUGUUAUAUGAAUAUAUGCUCUUGAACAUCUGACUUUAGUAGAACAGUGUAUUAGUAUUUUCCAGUCAAUGCUGCAGACUAGUGAAUUGAUGAUUCUGAAACAAGAUUCUUGUUUCUGCCAAGAAUACGAGAGCAAUGGCUAUGCUCGUGUCAAAACAGCUGAGGAGGUUUUUCUGCACUUAGGGAAAUUGCUGAACUUGGAUAUAUUCAAAUGUCAGAACUAAAUCUACAGAAAUUUGCAGUGUUGUUCCAAUUAUACGUUAAGAAUACACACAUAGAAUUACUCUAAGCAAAAUAGCUGGCUUCUUGGCAACACUGACUAUAGCUUUCUGACCUAAGUGAUAUGAAAAUAAGAACAUUUUCUGUAUGGGUGUAUAGUGAAAGGCAAACAGUGGCUGUAAAAACACAGAACUCUUUUUAUGUGUUUUUAAUGUGACUUUACUGUCCCAGUUGGUUUCCUUAGAACUGCGGAUCUAUCAAAUCUUUUGGAAUGUGAGUAUCUAAGUAUGUAAACUGGGAAACUUCCAUCCAAAUAGAGACAGGUUUUGUGCUGGAACUGGAAUUUCAAACCAUGACCUAAACAACUUAAACAUACUAUAAAUUCUGUAUUCUGUUUUACCUUUGCAAGAAGUAAUGUUCUAAAAUCACAAUAAUCAUGACUAUGCUCAACUCAGUAUUACAUGAAAGCUUCAUAGUUUGGUUUUUUUCGGGGGGGGGAAAGGGGCUCUAUACUGUGAUUUACUUUUGUAGUGAAACCCCUACAAAACACGAAAGAAAUGAUUUAAACCAGCUCUUGCAGCUUUUUUUUGUGAAAUAAGUAGUUUUGUAGAUUGUCACAGACACCACUUGGGAGGGGGGACAGAACUGAGGUGAGAGGCUGGAGUAAGUUACUCUAGAAAACAGUGUUUCAGUGCCCUAUUUUCUUACCAUUUGGAAUGGCUCUUUAAUUCCUUAGCUCUUGUCUUAUUCUGAAUGCAUGUCUCUAAGGCUUGACCAUGCAGUCCGAAGUUCAGGAGGCAGCAGAAUGCUGCACCUAGACAAAUUAUUUAAGAAGAUAACAGGGAUGUAGGAAUCCAUUUUUAUUCUGAAUUCUUCAGACUUAGUAGAUCAUCUUGUUCAAGUUACUUCUCUUCCUUCUUUUUUUAUCUUGUGGUAAAAUAGGAGUAAAUUUCAAAUGUAACUUCCAUGAGGCAUAUCACUUGUCUGUAAGAUUUAAUAGUAUAAAAUACUAUCAUAAGUGUGAUGAUACCUGUCAUCAUUUUUUCAAGAAAUUCUCACAUCGUGUGUCUUUUGAGCUUCCAAAUCAAGGCUCCCAAACGAGUUUCAACAACGCAUCAUGUUAAGCACAUUCUCAUGAGUCACUGCUGAAAGUACUGAUCAGUGGAUGGUAGAAGGGAAAACGCAUCAAAGGAGGAAUUCGGAAGGUGGGAGUAGUGAAGUUUCAGUUUGAGAUUUGUAAAUGAAGUGUGGGUUAGAAAGGAAUGGUGAACCUGAACGUGUUUUGUGGGUUGAGUGGUUACCUGUCUCAGGACAA